GACGAACGCUGGCGGCAUGCUUAACACAUGCAAGUCGAACAGAAAGGCCCUGCUUUUGUGGGGUGCUCGAGUGGCGAACGGGUGAGUAACACGUGAGUAACCUGCCCUUGACUUUGGGAUAACUUCAGGAAACUGGGGCUAAUACCGGAUAGGAGCUCCUGCUGCAUGGUGGGGGUUGGAAAGUUUCGGCGGUUGGGGAUGGACUCGCGGCUUAUCAGCUUGUUGGUGGGGUAGUGGCUUACCAAGGCUUUGACGGGUAGCCGGCCUGAGAGGGUGACCGGCCACAUUGGGACUGAGAUACGGCCCAGACUCCUACGGGAGGCAGCAGUGGGGAAUAUUGCACAAUGGGCGGAAGCCUGAUGCAGCAACGCCGCGUGCGGGAUGACGGCCUUCGGGUUGUAAACCGCUUUCGCCUGUGACGAAGCGUGAGUGACGGUAAUGGGUAAAGAAGCACCGGCUAACUACGUG
rnacentral:rRNA from 1 species